UACAGGGGGUGCAAACGUUGCUCGGAAUCAUUGGGCGUAAAGGGCGCGUAGGCGGCCAACUAAGUCAGACGUGAAAUCCCCAGGCUCAACCUGGGAACUGCGUCUGAUACUGGAUGGCUCGAGUUCGGGAGAGGGAAGCGGAAUUCCAGGUGUAGCGGUGAAAUGCGCAGAUAUCAGGAAGAACACCCGUGGCGAAGGCGGUUCUCUGGGACGGUACUGACGCUGAGACGCGAAAGCGUGGGGAGCGAACAGG
rnacentral:rRNA from 1 species